AUCUAUUGUAGAGGGUUUGUGAUGAACCUUUGAAGCUUUGGCAUUUUGAUUUGCACUGCUUCGGAAACUUACGCGGCCUCUUGAAGUAUUGCCGAUGACUUGAUUGCAAUUUAGUUUAGUUUCCUAGUAAAGCUCAAACGAGACUUACGUUAGCUCAUUAUAGUGAUUUGACAAUGUUGAUUGAUAUUUGUUUGUCUUUUAUUUCUGUUUAAUUAUUUAUUAUUUUUGUAAUCGUCCAGAGAUUUGUAAAGAAGUCUCAAAUUUUUUUUGCAACGCUUGACAUUCACAGUGCUUCAAGCAACUCGAAAUGCCGUCUAGUGUGGCGUGUUACAAACACCUCAACACAUGUUUAAUCAUGUUAGACAAGAAAGGUACCGAUACAGCACUCGCAGGUUUUUAUUUCAUCUGCAUAUCAAAUAUUGAAUCAAUCAAAUAUUGGAUUGACUCUAAAGUAUCACAUUGUCCUAUAUUUUUUUCAACCUAAUGCUUUGAAAAUAGUUUAAAAUUUUGGAAGAGUCAAGAAUUAUGGCUUAGAAUCUAGAUAGAAGGUCAUAGAAUUUAUUCUUGAGUUUAAUUCCUAGCUUCUCCAAUCGCAUCAAUAAAUCUCCAACUUAUUUUAA